GUUAUGGAAUCAAAGAAGGCACAAUUGUUAAGAAGGUUAAAAAGAGCAAAGGGUUGAAGAGUGUGAAGCUUUUGCCGAAAAUAGCAGCGCACAGGUGCUGAAAAAAUUGUCAAAUGUACCGUCCAAAGUUUGUGCAGCAAAAGAUGUGAGGGAUUUCUAUAAUUUGUUGGCUAAAUGAUUUGUCAAUCAAGAUCAUGGUGGAAGAAUGGAUAUUAGAUGUGGCAGACAUGUGAAAUAAUGAUGAAAAGUUUGAAAUGAUGUGGUCACCUUUUGCUUGAUAAUCUACUAUACUAGCUCUUUAAAGUUUUAAUCCCAAAAUUGUUUCCAUAUUAUUGAGAAGAAUGAAUUUAAGGCUGGCUCUAUUAUUA